rnacentral:rRNA from 1 species
UGAGACACGGACCAAACUCCUACGGGAGGCAGCAGUGAGGAAUAUUGGUCAAUGGCCGAGAGGCUGAACCAGCCAAGUCGCGUGAGGGAUGAAGGUUCUAUGGAUCGUAAACCUCUUUUAUAAGGGAAUAAAGUGCGGGACGUGUCCCGUUUUGUAUGUACCUUAUGAAUAAGGAUCGGCUAACUCCGUGCCAGCAGCCGCGGUAAUACGGAGGAUCCGAGCGUUAUCCGGAUUUAUUGGGUUUAAAGGGUGCGUAGGCGGCCUUUUAAGUCAGCGGUGAAAGUCUGUGGCUCAACCAUAGAAUUGCCGUUGAAACUGGGGGGCUUGAGUAUGUUUGAGGCAGGCGGAAUGCGUGGUGUAGCGGUGAAAUGCAUAGAUAUCACGCAGAACCCCGAUUGCGAAGGCAGCCUGCCAAGCCAUUACUGACGCUGAUGCACGAAAGCGUGGGGAUCAAACAGGAUUAGAUACCCUGGUAGUCCACGCAGUAAACGAUGAUCACUAGCUGUUUGCGAUACACUGUAAGCGGCACAGCGAAAGCGUUAAGUGAUCCACCUGGGGAGUACGCCGGCAACGGUGAAACUCAAAGGAAUUGACGGGGGCCCGCACAAGCGGAGGAACAUGUGGUUUAAUUCGAUGAUACGCGAGGAACCUUACCCGGGUUUGAACGCAUUCGGACCGAGGUGGAAACACCUUUUCUAGCAAUAGCCGUUUGCGAGGUGCUGCAUGGUUGUCGUCAGCUCGUGCCGUGAGGUGUCGGCUUAAGUGCCAUAACGAGCGCAACCCUUAUCACUAGUUACUAACAGGUGAAGCUGAGGACUCUGGUGAGACUGCCAGCGUAAGCUGUGAGGAAGGUGGGGAUGACGUCAAAUCAGCACGGCCCUUACAUCCGGGGCGACACACGUGUUACAAUGGUGGGGACAAAGGGCAGCUACCUGGCGACAGGAUGCUAAUCUCCAAACCUCGUCUCAGUUCGGAUCGAAGUCUGCAACCCGACUUCGUGAAGCUGGAUUCGCUAGUAAUCGCGCAUCAGCCAUGGCGCGGUGAAUACGUUCCCGGGCCUUGUACACACCGCCCGUCAAGCCAUGGGAGCCGGGGGUACCUGAAGUGCGUAACCGCGAGGAGCGCCCUAGGGUAAAACUGGUGACUGGGGCUAAGUCGUAACAAGGUAGCCGUACCGGAAGGGGCGGCUG